UAUAAGUUUAAGCAAUUAUACAGCGAAACUGCGAAUGGCUCAUUAAAUCAGUUAUCGUUUAUUUGAUAGUACCUUACUACAUGGAUAACCGUGGUAAUUCUAGAGCUAAUACAUGCUGAAAACCCCGACUUCGGAAGGGGUGUAUUUAUUAGAUUAAAANCCAAUGCCCUUCGGGGCUCACUGGUGAUUCAUGAUAACUUCUCGAAUCGCACGGCCUUGCGCCGGCGAUGGUUCAUUCAAAUUUCUGCCCUAUCAACUUUCGACGGCUGGGUCUUGGCCAGCCGUGGUGACAACGGGUAACGGAGGGUUAGGGCUCGACCCCGGAGAAAACGCCUGAGAAACGGCGUUUACAUCCAAGGAAGGCAGCAGGCGCGCAAAUUACCCAAUGCCGACACGGCGAGGUAGUGACGAGAAAUACUGAUACAGGGCUCUUUUGGGUCUUGUAAUUGGAAUGAGUACAAUUUAAAUCUCUUAACGAGAACANUGGANGNNNNNNNNNNNNNNNNNNNNNNGCGGUNAUUNAGCUCCAAUAGCGUAUAUUAAAGUUGUUGCAGUUAAAAAGCUCGUAGUUGAACCUUGGGCCUGGCUGGCCGGUCCGCCUCACCGCGUGCACUGGUCCGGCCGGGCCUUUCCCUCUGGGGAGCCCCAUGCCCUUUACUGGGCGUGGCGGGGAACCAGGACUUUUACUUUGAAAAAAUUAGAGUGUUCAAAGCAGGCCUAUGCUCGAAUACAUUAGCAUGGAAUAAUAGAAUAGGACGUGUGGUUCUAUUUUGUUGGNUUCUAGGACCGCCGUAAUGAUUAAUAGGGACAGUCGGGGGCGUCAGUAUUCAAUUGUCAGAGGUGAAAUUCUUGGAUUUAUUGAAGACUAACUACUGCGAAAGCAUUCGUCAAGGAUGUUUUCAUUAAUCAGGAACGAAAGUUAGGGGAUCGAAAACGAUCAGAUACCGUUGUAGUCUUAACCAUAAACUAUGCCGACUUGGGAUCGGGCGGUGUUAUUUUUUGACCCGCUCGGCACCAUACACGAAAGUACAAGUUUCUGGGUUCU
rnacentral:rRNA from 1 species